rnacentral:rRNA from 1 species
AAUGAACGCUGGCGGCGUGCUUAACACAUGCAAGUCGAGCGAGGCGGAAGGGGGCAACUCCUUCCAGUCGAGCGGCGGACGGGUGAGUAACACGUGGGUAGCCUGCCCGGAAGUGGGGAAUACCUCGGGGAAACUCGAGCUAAUACCGCAUGACAUCUUCGGGACGAAAGUCCUGACGAUCAAAGCGGGGUCGCAAGAUCUCGCGCUACCGGAUGGGCCCGCGCCCGAUUAGCUAGNGGUGAGGUAACGGCUCACCAAGGCUUCGAUCGGUAACCGGCCUGAGAGGGCGAUCGGUCACACCGGAACUGAGACACGGUCCGGACUCCUACGGGAGGCAGCAGUGGGGAAUCUUGCGCAAUGGGCGAAAGCCUGACGCAGCAACGCCGCGUGGAGGAUGAAGGCCC